UUUUCUUCCCUCAUCCAUCCAUUUAGGGUAUGCAAUCUACUGCAACACCUUUGAGGGGAGACGUUUCAUAACUCCUCUCUAUGACGGCGGUUUGGUUUCGUACGACCAAAGCAACCGUAGGUGAAAGGAGGACCGAGUUUUGAAGCGGAUCGGCCCAAAGCAAAGGCAACCAGUCUGUUGUUGUUGUUGCAGCAAGGGUUUGAGCAGGAGACUGGAGACACAACAGUAGGGAAAGACAAGACGACGGGGGACCUUUGAAGUUGCCGGUGCCAUUUUAAAUAAUCAUGAAAAGAAGGGAACGAAGGAAAACACAAAGUACACGGGCCCCAUCUCAAAGACGAUGCAGGGGGAACCUGUUACUCACUUUCACUGGAGGCUGAUCGGUCUCUCUUGAAUUAUUUUUUGAUGUGUCGAUAUGAAAUGAGUAAACAAAAUUUCUGUGCAUGUAAUGGGAUCUUAAACACAUUUAUUUUGUCCCUCUUUGAACUGAAUGAGAGUUCUUUGGUUUCUUUGCCAUUUUUUGGGAAUUAAAUUUUGAGUAAAUUAAACGUAAGAUCAGAGGAAAGCCCCCGCUGUGACGACAGCGCUGGAAGUGAUAUGUAGUUAUUAAUAUAGACCACAGUGGGUAUAUUAACAAUCUACAUCCGUAUCCAGUCAGUCAUCUCAUUUCUAUGCUGCUAGAUCCUUGUUACAAUGCAUACUUGUUUCCACAGAAAAUGGACGUUCAUAGUUUAUCUUUUUAGUAUGGAUUGGAAAAACUGUUUCUAAAAAACAUACAUUUUAAAACGUUCUUUUUUCAAUGGGGUGAUGUAGAUAAACAGAGAUGAGACAUCUCAGCUCUUCACACUCAUUGAGCUGCUUACUCAAAAUCAAGCAAAAAGGAUUUUAAAGUAAUUUGUAUUCAUUUGUGUAUAUAUAUAUUAGUGUUUAGUAGCAGAAAUGUACAAAAUGUAACAGGAGAUAAGCACAAUAAACGAGGUGUGUGUGUGCAUUUGUCUGUGUAUCUGUGUCUAUUGAGCAGAUGAGUGACAAUGUCGUCACUGUGUGCUUUGUGUAAAUACUCUUUUUUUGUCUCGAUGUCGUCAGAUGGACGUCAGAUGGACGGCAGAUCCCGGCGCCUCUUCCUCUCCGUUUUUUCUCAGUCUUCAUCGUCAGACGAAUCCUCCUCUAGUUCACUGGUGCGAUCGAGCAAGUGCUCCACAGCCUCCAGGGCUCCCUUUUUAUUUCUGUUGCUCAUGUUUUUCUACAGUAAGCUGCUGUGUAGAUCUGCAGUGUAAUGUUGGUAGGACUCCCAAGCAACCCUUUUUCUAUGUAAGUCAAAUAAAAUAUUCCUGUCAAAGUCAAAAUAGAAUGUGUAUUUCUCACACAUGUGGGGUAGUGAGAAAGAGAAUGUGGGUGCGUGUGAGAAUGGGAUGAAAUAGUGUAUGUGAGUGUGAAAUGUGGUAAAACAUGGUGAGAGGGAGAAAGUAAUAAAUAGUCUCAUAUUUUCAAAGAAAG
ensembl:lncRNA